GAACCGUGCGAACGUUGUUCGGAUUCACUGGGCUUAAAGGGCGCGUAGGCGGGCCGUUCCGUCGGUGGUGAAAUCCCCCGGCCCAACCGGGGAACCGCCUCCGAUACCGACGGCCUCGAGGGGGGUAGGGGCGGCCGGAACUUCCGGUGGAGCGGUGAAAUGCGUAGAUAUCGGAAGGAACGCCGGUGGCGAAAGCGGGCCGCUGGACCCCCACUGACGCUGAGGCGCGAAAGCCAGGGGAGCGAACGGGAUUAGAUACCCCGGUAGUCCUGGCCCUAAACGAUGGGCACUAGGUAGUGGGCUUGCAUGGGCUCACUGCCGCAGCCAAAGUGCUAAGUGCCCCGCCUGGGGAGUAUGGUCGCAAGGCUGAA
rnacentral:rRNA from 1 species